rnacentral:rRNA from 1 species
GACGAACGCUGGCGGCGUGCCUAAUACAUGCAAGUCGAACGCAGUGGCGAACGGGUGAGUAACGCGUAGGUAACUGCCUCAUAGCGGGGGAUAACUAUUGGAAACGAUAGCUAAUACCGCAUAUUGUGAGAUGGACCUGCGUUGUAUUAGGUAGGUGGUGGGGUAAAGGGGCACCAAGGCGACGAUACAUUGCCGGACUGGGCGGGUGGUCGGCCACACUGGGAAUGGGAAACGGCCCAGACUCCCACGGGAGGGAGCAAGAGGGAAACUUGGGCCAGGGGCGGAAGUCUGACCGCACAACGCCGCGGGAGUGGAGAAGGUUUUCGGGUCGGAAAGCUCUGUUGUGAGGGAAGCGGUAACUAACCAGAAAGCAACGGCUAACUACGUGCCAGCAGCCGCGGUAAUUC